AUGAGUCUCCCUGUUCAGCUCCCACAGCUGCUAAUGCUCUGGGUCCCUGGAUAUAGUGAGGAUAUUGUGAUGACCCAGACUCCACUCUCCCUGCCCGUCAUCCCUGGAGAGCCGGCCUCCAUCUUCUACAGGUCUAGUCAGAGCCUCUUGGAUAGUGACGAGUAUACCUGUUUGGAUUGGUACCUGCAGAAGCCAGGCCAGUCUCCACAGCUCCUGUUCUAUGAGGUUUCCAACAGGGCCUCUGGAGUCCCUGACAGGUUCAGUGCCAGUGGGUCAGGCACUGAUUUAACCCUAAAAAUCAGUCGGGUGGAGGUUGAGGAUGUUGGGGUGUAUUACUGUAUGCAAAGUAUAGUUUCCUCCCACAGUGCUACAUCCUAG